rnacentral:lncRNA from 1 species
CUGGAGCCAUCCUUGCCUAUUACCUGCGACGACAGGACUCCCGACAAGGGACGGGUACAGCGUGUGUGGAGAUACCCGGGAGCUCCUGUGUGAAGGAGCAGACCUACAAGGAGCGCCUGGAUAGCGACCUUGGGGAUGCAGCGGGAAGACUCCGCGAACCGAGCGGUUGCCUUCCAACCCCGCGCCCAGUAGACAGACCCAGGCGAAGGGAGUGAGCGCGCGUGCGCACUCGCGCGCUCCCGGUAGGAAGAAGCUCAGCGCGCGCUUCCGCGCGCGCGCGCGUUCGAAAGGGAAAAAAAAGUCUCCCCCGCGGGGGCCCGCGGCAUUUAGGCCGGUGUUGGCCGGCGAGCGCGCGUGCGCGAGCGCGCAAAGACGCCCUCCACUGCCGCUCCCCUCCACUGGGGGUCUAGCGCACAGCUCCGCUGUCCCCGCCUCUCCCGAGGCUCGUGCGCUCGGGGUAAGUACCUGGCGCCUAGCGGAGAGAGGGGGUGAGUCCGCCAGAGAAAGGGUGGAGGCAGACAGGGCUGGGAGAAAGGGAAAAGCCGCUCUUGCAGAGCGCAGAGCUCGGCCACGGGGCUGGAGUCUGCAGAAGACACGCCUCCAUCCCUCACGCCCCUCGGGGCUGCGGAAGUGCUCUGGAGACUGGAGCGGCACGGAGGCGACAGGUGGACUACCAUUCCCAGAAGGCGGCGCGGGGCUGCGCCUACUGGUCCCGGCAAUACCUGCGCGCUAGGCUUUUUUUUUUUUUUUUUUCCCUUCUCUCCAGUUUGCUGCUGCCUGGGGCGAAACUACAGUUCCCAGAAGGCUUCGCGCGAAGAAGGCUUGGAAGUGGGCAGCCUGGAAGUCACUCGGGCCACCCGAGCUGGCGGUGUCUCCAGCGAACGGCGCGGAGCCGGACGCUGCGGUCGUGGGGCCCGCGGGGCGGGCAGCCGGGACGCCCAGAUGCGCAGACCCCGCGGCAGAGGUCACGGCUGCUUACUUUCUGGGCAGGGUCAGGAUCACCAGGCCUUCCUAGUCAGGAUGCAUUCAACUCAUGACAUCAUUGCUUGUUGGCACAGCACAUGCAGACUGGGCCUUGAGUUUCCCCCCACCGAGUGGGGGUGCGAGGACCUUAGUGAGCCAGCCUUCCAGAGGAAAGAUUAUGGGGUUCACCACUGAGUUUGUUGGCAUUGCUUAGAAAGACAACCACGUGGACCACCCACCUGGCCUUUUUUGCUGGGCCCAGUGUUGUCUGUUUGCCUAAGCGGAGCUCCUGUGUUUGCUUAGGACUCUGUGGGGCAGGGUCAGAGAGGCAUAUCCUCUGGUGUCUGCUCCGCAGACUUCUGGAGUGCUGUGGGCUUCUGUUUCUACCCCUCCCUUCGCCCCCCCCCCUUCUCCUGGCUGCCAAACCACCCUGGAGUGUCUCUGAGUCAUUUUAUACCACGUCUUGAUCUCUGUGACUAGAAGGACUGAUGCCUGGCAGCAGGGAUAGAGGCAUCUUUUUUUGGCCUCUUAGGCCUGGCAGGUGGCAGGUGGCAGGUGCUCUUGUUAAAUGGGUCCCAGAACCUCAUUUAGUCACUGGGUAUUUCUUUGGGGGCCUCUUGUGUGGCGGGCACUGUGUUGGACAUAGCACAUAAGGGGAAAGCAGCAAAUUGAGACCAUGGGGGAGUUGGAGGGUUUCCCUUCACACAAGACCCUGGCCCUGGAGGGAACAUUUAUUGAAUUCCGUCUCCUGCCAAGUUCUGUGGGGUCUGGAACACUACUGGCCUUGCCUUCAUGGCACUUUUCUGUUCUUACUGGGGGCGGGGAUGAAGAAUAAACAUACAAGCAGCCAAACAAGCCAAAUAAUUGCACAUGGGCUAGAAUUACUGCUGUCUCACCGCUGGUCCGGCAGGAACCAAGAACCCUGCACCAAAUGUAAACUCAGGUGCCCUUUGCCACUGGCAAGCCAGUGGGUCCUUUGGAAGAGUCUGCUUUUCCUUGAUGUGUAGCUGGUGGGUGAUCGCAGGGUCUUAGAGGACGUCUCUGCCCCGCAAAAAGGUGGACAUGUGUUUUAUUGGGUCACUCAGACGAACAGUAACAAACAUUCAUGUAGCUCUGAGUGCCUCCAUGCUAACUGUUUUAAAUUCCCCCAGCAACCUUAAGAUGUUGGUACUAUCUCUAUCCUCCUUUUUCAGAUGAGGCACAGAGAAGGGAGAUAAAUCCCAAAGCAGGUAAAUGGCAAAGCUGGGAUUUGAACCUAAGCUGUCUGUCUUUAGAGCCCUUGUUCUUAAUGCACUCUGGGAACAUAUCAGGCAUUUGGACAUGACCGAUACUGCUCACCAGUUGAUCCAGACCAGAGGAAGGCCCUGCUAGGGCAGGAAGGCGAAGAGUCGCAGUGGCAGACCUUCAGGGAAGAAACCCGUCCUCACACCCCCAGAACCAAGGCCAUAGAGAAAAACCUAACAGCCAGGCUAAGGAGAGAGCAGUGGCUCCAGGCAGUUACCGUCUCCCUGGAAGGAACUGGCCUGGCUUCAGAAGCCCCCCUCCCAACAUGAGCUCAGUGGGUUCAUUGCUGAGACGGCCCCUGAGACUGUGCCGAGUAGUAGUUACUGGGAGAGCGGCUGCUGAACCCUGUCCUGCGCACUGAUAGCCUGUUAGGGGCAUGACGGGCCACCUUGGUUCCUUGGAGCUAGAGAGUGAUUUCUCUUAGGGACUUGCUGCCAACAGGGAGAUUGGGGACCGAGUUUGGAUAUGAAACUUUGGAGUCACACUGUAGCUAACCACAUCUUGGCUGCACCCCGUGCUGUAGCUGCCUGACCUUGAGCAGGUGACUUCACCUCUCUGAGCUUCAGGCGAUUUAUUUUUUAAAUACCUACCUCACUGAGGUCUACGUGUAUGGGAGUGAUGGCGUUAACUCACUGAGGUCAUCUUAUGUGAAGUGUUUAGUCCAGAACUUGGCCCUGCCGUUGAGCGCUCAAUACAAGGAGAGAUUAUGUUGUGGGAGGCAGCGUCAUCAAGUGGGUCAGGCAGGGCCUCUGGAACCACCACCACUCCCGGCCCAUUGGCCUGGGACCACUGGCUUUAGCCUCUCUGCGGCCGCAUUUCCUUAUCCUAAAACAAGGAUACUGUUAGUCCUAAAGAGGGUGAGCAUUCAGUGAGUCGGUGCUUGUGAAACAUGGAGCACACGUUAGUACGCGACGUGACACUCAUGGUCAGCCCCGUAAGCAUUGGCUGUCACGAUGACGGUGAAUUGAGAAUGUGGGCCUGGGACCCAGCAACCAGGUGAGGAGAAACCUUCCACCUCCUUUCUUUUCCACAGAAAGCUACUGUUGGGUCAGCCACCUCCCCUGUGGGCGUGAGGGAUGGUGAUGGGAGGCUCUGGUCGUAUCAGGGACUCUUCCUCUUUUCAGAGGAGAGUUGGCCUCUCCGAGUUGAGUAAUACAGACUCAAAG